AACGAACGCUGGCGGCAUGCCUAACACAUGCAAGUCGAACGAACCCUUCGGGGUUAGUGGCGCACGGGUGCGUAACGCGUGGGAAUCUGCCCUUUGCUUCGGAAUAACAGUUAGAAAUGACUGCUAAUACCGGAUGAUGUCUCCGGACCAAAGAUUUAUCGGCAAGGGAUGAGCCCGCGUAGGAUUAGGUAGUUGGUGGGGUAAAGGCUUACCAAGCCGACGAUCCUUAGCUGGUCUGAGAGGAUGAUCAGCCACACUGGGACUGAGACACGGCCCAGACUCCUACGGGAGGGAGCAGUGGGGAAUAUUGGACAAUGGGCGCAAGCCUGAUCCAUCAAUGCCGCGUGAGUGAUGAAGGCCUUCGGGUCGUAAAGCUCUUUUACCAGGGAUGAUAAUGACAGUACCUGGAGAAUAAGCUCCGGCUAACUCCGUGCCAGCCGCCGCUGUAACAC
rnacentral:rRNA from 1 species